UGGAAGUACAGUUGCUGUUCUACUCUUCGC
rnacentral:piRNA from 1 species